rnacentral:tRNA from 1 species
CACCAAGAAGCUAUACAGCACUAGCCUUUUAAGUUAGAGAUAGAGAGCCAUAUGUUCUCCUUGGUGA